UGGUGCCAGCAGCCGCGGUAACUCCAGCUCCAAUAGCAUAUAUUAAAAUUGCUGCAGUUAAAAAGCUCGUAGUUGGAUCUGGGUUCUGGUUUGGAGUCUGCUUGCUCUUAGUGGAUUGAUUUCAUGAAGCUUUGGGCAGCGGUUCUUCUAGGCCGAAUCUUCCAGCUGUGUCUGCAUAGGGUUUCGGCCUUGUGUAGAUAGAUUCGUUGUGUGUAAGUUCCCUCACGGGUCUUCUCCUUCGUUUCUAUACGCUGUAAUGCCUUUAAUCGGGUGUUCAGUGUGGACAGCACGUUUACUUUGAACAAAUUUGAGUGCUCAAAGCAGGCCUU
rnacentral:rRNA from 1 species